rnacentral:misc_RNA from 1 species
GAUGAAGAACGCAGCGAAAUGCGAUACGUAAUGUGAAUUGCAGAAUUCAGUGAAUCAUCGAAUCUUUGAACGCACAUUGCGCCCUUUGGUAUUCCUUAGGGCAUGCCUGUUCGAGCGUCAUUUAAACCUUCAAGCUAAGCUUGGUGUUGGGUGACUGUCCGCUUCACGGCGGACUCGCCUCAAAAUUAUUGGCGGCCGGUACAUUGGCUUCGAGCGCAGCAGAAACGCGAACUCGGGCCCGUCGUAUUGGCUCCCAGAAGCUAUCUUCACAAUUUUGACCUCGGAUCAGGUAGGGAUACCCGCUGAACUUAAGCAUAUCAAUAAGCGGAGGA